UUGCAAAGAAGGGAUUUAAACACCUUUGAACAUCUUAUGCUCAGGUUUCCCUGAGGUGGCUUUCUUCCUCCUGGAAGCAAUGAGUUGGAAUUCGGGAAAUCAUGUUGGUUUAAGCUAAAAGGCCAAACAUCCAUCCUGGAAACAUUCAAUGGUUGUCAAGAGACAAUUACAUAUGGAGAGAGACAAGAAUAGACCGGAUGAUGAGUCUGGGCUCUAGGGCCAAAGUAAACUGGAGAGAUGCCAGCUGUCCAAAGAGUCUGUCCUGAAUAACCCACUGAGUCAUUAAAAGAUGGUGAACCUGGGACAACAGCACAGGGAUAUGGAUGGGUAUCACUCCCAAGAGCACUUGAUAAAAG